UUAAGCUAAGAAGAGCGUAGGGAGAAUGCCUUGGCAUUAGGAGCCGAUGAAGGACGUGAUAAGCUGCGAUAAGCUGCGGGGAUCAGCAAGUAUGAAUUGAUCCGCAGAUUUCCGAAUGGAGCAAUCCGUAUGUGUAUGCACAUACAUCAUAUACUGAAUCAAAUAGGUAUAUGAGGGGAACCGCCUGAACUGAAACAUCUAAGUAGGGCGAGGAAGAGAAAUCAACCGAGAUUCUGUGAGUAGUGGCGAGCGAAAGCGGAAGAGGCUAAACCAUAGGUAGCAAUACUUAUGGGGUUUCGGACAGCAUUUAGUAUUGAUAAUUUCUAGUUGAAACGUGUGGGAAAACGUACCGAGGAGUGUGAGAGUCACGUAAGCGAAAGAGAAAGUCAGCGAGCUGUAUCCAAAGUACCGCGGGACACGUGAAACCCCGUGGGAAGAUGGGGGGACCAUCCUCCAAGCCUAAAUACUACCUAAUGACCGAUAGCGAAUAGUACUGUGAAGGAACGGUGAAAAGAACCCCGGGAGGGGAGUGAAAAAGAACCUGAAACCCUAUGCUUACAAGCACCGAGAGCACGUCAAAGUGUGAUCGGGUACCUUUUGUAGAAUGGUCCGGCGAGUUAUUGUAUGCGGCAAGGUUAAGUGCUUAAGGCACGGAGCCGAAGCGAGAGCAAGUCUGAAUAGGGCGAAAGAGUCGUAUGCAAUAGACCCGAAACCGAGUGACCUAUCCAUGUCCAGGCUGAAGUGGAGGUAAAACUCCAUGGAGGGCCGAACACACGUCCGUUGAAAAGGCCGGUGAUGAGGUGUGGAUAGCGGAGAAAUUCCAAUCGAACUCGGAUAUAGCUGGUUCUCUCCGAAAUAGCUUUAGGGCUAGCCUCGUGAAAGAUUACUGGAGGUAAAGCACUGAAUGGGCUAGGGGUCGAAAGAUUACUGAACCCUAUCAAACUAAGAAUGCCAGAUAAUUGAUUCACGGGAGUCAGACAAUGUGAGAUAAGUCUCAUUGUCAAAAGGGAAACAGCCCAGACCCACAGCUAAGGUCCCUAAACAUUGUUAAGUGGAAAAGGAUGUGGGGUUGCAUAAACAACCAGGAUGUUGGCUUAGAAGCAGCCACUCAUUAAAAGAGUGCGUAAUAGCUCACUGGUCGAGUGACCCUGCGCCGAAAAUUCAACGGGGCUAAACAAUGUACCGAAGCUUGGGAUUCUAAAGUAAUUUAGAGUGGUAGGAGAGCGUCGAAUAAGGGGUGAAGUCAGAGCGGAAGCGCUGGUGGACUUUAUUCGAGUGAGAAUGCCGGAAUGAGUAGCGAGAAUUAUGUGAGAAUCAUAAUGGCCGAAAAUCUAAGGUUUCCUGAGGAAGGUUCGUCCGCUCAGGGUAAGCCGGGGGCUAAGGCGAGGCGGAGACGCGUAGCCGAUGCACAUACGGUUGAAAUUCCGUAGCCACCGAAAGAUUUAAGUACAGGGACGCUUUAGAAGUGAUGUAGCCGGGCGAUGGUUGACCCGGUCGUAAGGGAUCGAAAAUGAGUAGAGAAGUCAUCAUGGAAAGAGACAAGAAAAGCUGUAUGAAUAUCUUAGGUGCCCGUACCGCAAACCGACACAGGUAGAUAGGAAGAAGAUUCUAAGGCCAACGGGAGAAGGGUUGUUAAGGAACUCGGCAAGUUGACCCCGUAACUUAGGGAUAAGGGGUGCUCAAGUGAUUGAGCCGCAGAGAAUAGGCCCAGGCGACUGUUUAGCAAAAACACAGGUCUCUGCUAAAUCGAAAGAUGACGUAUAGGGGCUGACACCUGCCCGGUGCCGGAAGGUUAAGAGGAGAUGUGAGAGCAUUGAAUUGAAGCCCCGGUAAACGGCGGCCGUAACUAUAACGGUCCUAAGGUAGCGAAAUUCCUUGUCAGGU
rnacentral:rRNA from 1 species